GCCAGCUUGACUGCGAGCGUGACGGCGCGAGCAGGUGCGAAAGCAGGUCAUAGUGAUCCGGUGGUUCUGAAUGGAAGGGCCAUCGCUCAACGGAUAAAAGGUACUCCGGGGAUAACAGGCUGAUACCGCCCAAGAGUUCAUAUCGACGGCGGUGUUUGGCACCUCGAUGUCGGCUCAUCACAUCCUGGGGCUGAAGUAGGUCCCAAGGGUAUGGCUGUUCGCCAUUUAAAGUGGUACGCGAGCUGGGUUUAGAACGUCGUGAGACAGUUCGGUCCCUAUCUGCCGUGGGCGCUGGAGAACUGAGGGGGGCUGCUCCUAGUACGAGAGGACCGGAGUGGACGCAUCACUGGUGUUCGGGUUGUCAUGCCAAUGGCACUGCCCGGUAGCUAAAUGCGGAAGAGAUAAGUGCUGAAAGCAUCUAAGCACGAAACUUGCCCCGAG
rnacentral:rRNA from 1 species